rnacentral:rRNA from 1 species
UUCGCAAUGCCCGAAAGGGUGAACGAGCGACGCCGCGUGCGGGAUGAAGGCCUUCGGGCCGUAAACCGCUUUUGUAAGGGAAAAACUUAAUGAUGGUACCUUACGAAUAAGAGGUUACUAACUCUGUGCCAGCAGUAGCGGUAAUACAGAGACCUCAAGCGUUAUCCGGAUUUAUUGGGCGUAAAGCGCGGGUAGGCGGGAAUAUUAGUCAGAUGUCAAAUCCUCGAGCUCAACUCGAGAACUGCAUUUGAAACUGAGGGGCUCGAGUGAUGGAGGGGAGAGUGGAACUCCUGGUGGAGCGGUAAAAUGCGUAGAUAUCAGGAGGAACGCCGGUGGAGGAGUCGACUCUCUGGCCAUCUACUGACGCUGAGAUGCGAAAGCUAGGGGAGCAAACGGGAUUAGAUACCCCGGUAGUCCUAGCCGUAAACGAUGGGCACUAAGUAGAGGGGUUUU